GGUCUAGUGGCGAACGGGUGCGUAACACGUGAGGAACUUACCCCGGUCUCUGGGAUAACAGUUGGAAACGACUGCUAAUACCGGAUGCCGUCGCAGCAUCGCAUGGUGCAGUGACGAAAGGGCUACCGGACCGGGAGAGCCUCGCGGCCUAUCAGCUAGUUGGUGGGGUAAUGGCCUACCAAGGCAUCGACGGGUAGCUGGUCUGAGAGGAUGAUCAGCCACACUGGGACUGAGACACGGCCCAGACUCCUACGGGAGGCAGCAGUGGGGAAUCUUGCGCAAUGGGCGAAAGCCUGACGCAGCAACGCCGCGUGCGGGAAGAAGGCUCUCGGGUUGUAAACCGCUUUCAGUAGGAACGAAAAUGACGGUACCUGCAGAAGAAGGUGCGGCCAACUACGUGCCAGCAGCCGCGGUGACACGUAGGCACCAAGCGUUGUCCGGAUUUAUUGGGCGUAAAGAGCUCGUAGGCGGUUCAGUAAGUCGGGUGUGAAAACUCUGGGCUCAACCCAGAGAGGCCACUCGAUACUGCUGUGACUUGAGUACGGUAGGGGAGCGGGGAAUUCCUGGUGUAGCGGUGAAAUGCGCAGAUAUCAGGAGGAACACCGGUGGCGAAGGCGCCGCUCUGGGCCGAAACUGACGCUGAGGAGCGAAAGCGUGGGUAGCAAACAGGAUUAGAUACCCUGGUAGUCCACGCCGUAAACGUUGGGCACUAGGUGUGGGCUCUAACCAACGGAGUCCGUGCCGUCGC
rnacentral:rRNA from 1 species